UACAGAGGUCCCAAGCGUUGUUCGGAUUCAUUGGGCGUAAAGGGUGCGUAGGUGGCGAGGUAAGUCGGAUGUGAAAGCUCGGAGCUCAACUCCGAAAUGGCAUUGGAAACUACCUUGCUCGAGGGUUGGAGGGGGGACUGGAAUGCUUGGUGUAGCAGUGAAAUGCGUAGAUAUCAAGCGGAACAUCAGUGGCGAAGGCGAGUCCCUGGACAACUCCUGACACUGAGGCACGAAAGCUAGGGGAGCAAACAGG
rnacentral:rRNA from 1 species